GCGGCGGUAGUUCAAUUGGUGGAACGUCAGCUUGCCAAGCUGAAGGUUGCGGGUUCGAAGCCCGUCCGCCGCU
rnacentral:tRNA from 3 species